CUCAAGAUGAGAUUUCCCAACUUCGGUUAUAAGAUCCCUCAGAGAUGAUGAGGUCAAUAGGUUCGAGGUGGAAGCACAGUAAUGUGUGGAGCUGACGAAUACUAAUCGAUCGAAGACUUAAUCAAAAUUC
rnacentral:rRNA from 1 species